rnacentral:rRNA from 1 species
GUGGGGAAUAUUGGACAAUGGGCGAAAGCCUGAUCCAGCCAUGCCGCGUGUGUGAAGAAGGUCUUCGGAUUGUAAAGCACUUUAAGUUGGGAGGAAGGGCAGUAAGUUAAUACCUUGCUGUUUUGACGUUACCGACAGAAUAAGCACCGGCUAACUUCGUGCCAGCAGCCGCGGUAAUACGAAGGGUGCAAGCGUUAAUCGGAAUUACUGGGCGUAAAGCGCGCAUAGGUGGUUUUGUAAGUUGGAGGUGAAAUCCCCGGGCUCAACCUGGGAACUGCCUCCAAAACUGCAUGACUAGAGGAAGGUAGAGGGUAGUGGAAUUUCCUGUGUAGCGGUGAAAUGCGUAGAUAUAGGAAGGAACACCAGUGGCGAAGGCGACUACCUGGACUGAUACUGACACUGAGGUGCGAAAGCGUGGGGAGCAAACAGGAUUAGAUACCCCUGUAGUCC